rnacentral:rRNA from 1 species
CGUCAGCUCGUGUCGUGAGAUGUUGGGUUAAGUCCCGCAACGAGCGCAACCCUUAAGCUUAGUUGCCAUCAUUAAGUUGGGCACUCUAAGUUGACUGCCGGUGACAAACCGGAGGAAGGUGGGGAUGACGUCAAAUCAUCAUGCCCCUUAUGAUUUGGGCUACACACGUGCUACAAUGGACAAUACAAAGGGCAGCGAAACCGCGAGGUCAAGCAAAUCCCAUAAAGUUGUUCUCAGUUCGGAUUGUAGUCUGCAACUCGACUACAUGAAGCUGGAAUCGCUAGUAAUCGUAGAUCAGCAUGCUACGGUGAAUACGUUCCCGGGUCUUGUACACACCGCCCGUCACACCACGAGAGUUUGUAACACCCGAAGCCGGUGGAGUAACCUUUUAGGAGCUAGCCGUCGAAGGUGGGACAAAUGAUUGGGGUGAAGUCGUAACAAGGUAGCCGUAUCGGAAGGUGCGGCUGGAUCACCUCCUUU